rnacentral:rRNA from 1 species
UAGGGAAUCUUCCGCAAUGGACGCAAGUCUGACGGAGCAACGCCGCGUGAGUGAAGAAGGACUUCGGUUCGUAAAACUCUGUUGUUAGAGAAGAACAGCGCAUAGAGUAACUGUUAUGCGUGUGACGGUAUCUAACCAGAAAGCCACGGCUAACUACGUGCCAGCAGCCGCGGUAAUACGUAGGUGGCAAGCGUUGUCCGGAUUUAUUGGGCGUAAAGCGAGCGCAGGCGGUCAAUUAAGUCUGAUGUGAAAGCCCCCGGCUCAACCGGGGAGGGUCAUUGGAAACUGGUUGACUUGAGUGCAGAAGAGGAGAGUGGAAUUCCAUGUGUAGCGGUGAAAUGCGUAGAUAUAUGGAGGAACACCAGUGGCGAAGGCGACUCUCUGGUCUGUAACUGACGCUGAGGCUCGAAAGCGUGGGUAGCAAACAGG